GACGAACGCUGGCGGCGUGCUUAACACAUACAAGUCGAACGAUGAAGCUGGAGCUUGCUCCGGUGGAUUAGUGGCGAACGGGUGAGUAACACGUGAGCAAUCUGCCCUUGACUCUGGGAUAACUGCGGGAAACUGUAGCUAAUACCGGAUACUUUCACUGGAGGGCAUCUUCUGGUGAAGAAAGAAUUUCGGUCAAGGAUGAGCCCGCGGCCUAUCAGCUUGUUGGUGAGGUAACGGCUCACCAAGGCGACGACGGGUAGCCGGCCUGAGAGGGUGAACGGCCAAACUGGGACUGAGACACGGCCCAGACUCCUACGGGAGGCAGCAGUGGGGAAUAUUGCACAAUGGGCGCAAGCCUGAUGCAGCAACGCCGCGUGAGGGAUGAAGGCCUUCGGGUUGUAAACCUCUUUUAGCAGGGAAGAAGCGAAAGUGACGGUACCUGCAGAAAAAGCACCGGCUAACUACGUGCCAGCCGCCGCCGUAA
rnacentral:rRNA from 1 species